rnacentral:rRNA from 1 species
CCUACGGGGGGCAGCAGUGGGGGAUAUUGCACAAUGGGGGGAACCCUGAUGCAGCAACGCCGCGUGAGUGACGAAGCGCCUCGGCGCGUAAAGCCCUGUCAUCAGGGAAGAAAAUGACGGUACCUGAAGACGAAGCCCCGGCUAACUACGUGCCAGCAGCCGCGGUAAUACGUAGGGGGCGAGCGUUAUCCGGAUUUACUGGGUGUAACGGGGGCGCAGGCGGGGAUGCAAGCCAGGGGUGAAAGCCCGGGGUCCAACCCCGGGACUGCGUUUGGAACUGGGGGGCUGGAGUGCAGGAGGGGCAGGGGGAAUUCCUGGUGGAGCGGUGAAAUGCGUAGAGAUUAGGAGGAACACCGGUGGCGAAGGCGGCCCGCUGGACUGUAACUGACGUUGAGGCUCGAAAGCGUGGGGAGCAAACAGGAUUAGAUACCCCGGUAGUC